UCCUCUGUAGUUCAGUCGGUAGAACGGCGGACUGUUAAUCCGUAUGUCACUGGUUCGAGUCCAGUCAGAGGNC
rnacentral:tRNA from 1 species